CACGUAGGGGGCAAGCGUUGUCCGGAUUUAUUGGGCGUAAAGAGCUCGUAGGCGGCUUAGUAGGUCGGGUGUGAAACCUCCAGGCUCAACCUGGAGACGCCACCCGAUACUGCUGUGGCUAGAGUCCGGUAGGGGAGCGUGGAAUUCCUGGUGUAGCGGUGAAAUGCGCAGAUAUCAGGAGGAACACCAGCGGCGAAGGCGGCGCUCUGGGCCGGUACUGACGCUGAGGCACGAAAGCGUGGGGAGCAAAAGGG
rnacentral:rRNA from 1 species